CCGCCGUAGGGACCCGGACCCGGGGUCGCCAGCCCGGGUGGGCCGGGUCACGUGGGCCGGCGGGCGGCAGAGCGCCGGGGGCGGGGCGGCGAGGGGCAACUGGAGGCCAUUUUGGGGGCGUAGUGGCCGCCCGUGACCGCCCCCGCCCGGGCCCCGGCCCCCGCCCCGCGAGCCGCCCGCCGGAGCAUCUUCUCGCCUGAGCAGAAAACAUCUCUCCGGUCCUCCGAUGUCAGAGCCUCCUCCACCUCGGGUCGUCUCCUUUUCCCCAGCCUGAGCCAGAACCCCAAUCUAGGAUUCUCUGUCCCCUGGCCUCCACUGCAUGGCUUGAUGAGUGGUGAGCAGGUCUGCACCUGGGAUCCCAACCCAGGAACCACAGGCCACUGAAGAGGAGCUCACGAACUUCACCACCAUCCACCAGGCCAGCCCCACCACAGUUCUUUCCUCACUUCUUUCCUGAGUUCCCCCAGACUAUCACCACUACCACUAACAACUCUACUGAAAUCAUUUUCUCAAAGAUCACGUGUUAAUCUGUGACCAGUUCCUAAAUGAAGCAGCAGGGAAGGAUACCCAGGAAGAGAAAUUAAAGGAAGAAGAGACUUGGUUAUACUUUGGGAGCAAGCCAAAAGAGUAAGCAAGAUUCAAUAAAUAAAGGAGAGAGAGAACAGUGAAAGCCUGGACCUAGAGGAAAAGUCCGUGUUCUAUAACUUGAGUUGGAAGACCGGCUAGGAAGGAGUUGGAAGUUGAGGGAGUUGAGUCGGAUAACUUGCGUUCACCAGGUUGCUGCAGCUGCUAAAGAGAAGAGUAAUUCUGAGGGCCAGAGACUUUGUGAACAAGUUUUGGACCUGCCGGAAUUACCUCCAAGCCUAAGGAGGGAUAUGAUAAGUGCCAAAUGAAUGGCAAAAGUGAAAAGCUCCACCAAGUCUCCCUGUCAACUAGAAUAGGGUGGUAUCUAAUCUGGGCCUUGGAAAACAGGUAGAUGAAGUGGGUGGAGGGAUGGGGUCAAGAAAAUGUGCAAAGGCCUCAGGGCAGGAAAGCGUGUUGUUUGUUGUGGGAACUGAAAGGAGAUCCCACAGGCUGAGCACAGGGACAGGGGAGUAGUGGGAAAUAAGACUGGACUGCUAGACUCUGGGACAGAUGAUGUAAGGCCUUGAAUAUUAGGAUGAGGAAUGUGGGCUUUAUUGGUACAUAAUGGAGAACUUGAAGGUUUUUAAGCAAGAAAGUGGCAGUACUUUCCAGAAGGUUGAUCUAGGUCAGUAUGAUAAAGGCAGUGGCAAGGCUUGUUUGAGGUGGGCCCUACACUGAAGUGGUGCCAAAGGGAGGGGAAAGAAGAGGAUCACCCACCCUGAUGUCCUUUUAGCACAUUACUCAUCAUUUCUUUCUCAAGCUUUGUUUGCAAAUAAUUUGCUCUUCAACAGCAAUCAUAACAUGUAAUUAAACGAACACUUGAGGCUUUUCUUGGUUGAAUAAAAUUUCUAUUUAUGGGUAUUAUUAGGGGCGAUAAUAAGAAAUGGUCACUUUAUAUACUCACUUGAUAUAGUCUUCCAACUUUUGGGUUCAGCAUCUCCAAGAGUCCUCAAAAGAUGUUUCAUUCUUUCUGACCCAUGUCCUUCACUCUUUCCACAGAGAUUUUAUGAGUGGACAUCACUGAGGCAGAGCACUGAGUUAGGAGUCAAGAGACCUGUAUUCUAAUUUUACUUCUGGGAAAGCUGUAAUUCUAGCCAAGUCUCCUAAAAUCUCUGGGACUCAGUUUCCUCUGAGAUAUUAAAAAGAUGAUCCCAGAUUCCAUAAUUAUAUUAUUUCCUUUGAGCUUCUUGGAGAAAAAAGUCAUGUUCUCUCUUCCAGCUCCUCCUUUUAUCAUGGGCUGGGAACAUGAGUAAGUGUAACCAUAUCUGAUACAUAACAGGGUGACUGUUUGGGACAAAGAAUUCCAAGCAACCUUUUCAGACUAAUCAGAGUCACUCCCUGACAAGGGAAAGACUCAUCUGGAAGCUCAUCAAGUCGCCCUGCACCUCUAACCCCUUUAUCAUCCCAGCUGCCCCACCUCUAAUACUCUUGAGCAACUAAAUUCCAGUAUGUUCAAAGUCUCCAGUAUACAUUCAAGAGUAUCAUUUAAAAGAAGAAAAGAGCAAGAAGGUUACAUAUUUUCAAUUCUGAUGGAAACGAAAAGGAGCAGAUUCCUUCUGCAUAAUCUUUUUUUUUUUCUGAGUUGGUAAAAUGCCAUUCUGAGGAGAAAGCCAGCUUUCCUUCGCACACCCAAACAACAGCUGAUUCCACCUCCCGUCUCACUUUCCUUUCCUCAUCAGUGAAGGAGGCAGAAGCUUGGCAACUUAAACCUGUACACACAUUCCUGAAGCCCCAGUUUCUCUCACAAUCCGUGGUGACAAAGAGUUUCAGCAGAGUCCCACUCAUUGCUUGAUUUGCUUAGAUUCUUUAUCCGAAUUUUUAGAAAGAUAAGAAAUAAUAAGUAAUAAUAAUAAGAAGAAAGAAUCUGCCAUUCAACUACCAGAGUGCAGUUAGCUGUCAGCCUGCAACUACAUUACCUUUGGGAUCCAUUACCGUGUCAGAGCUAAGGCCCCAUUCUACCUGAGCAGCCCCUAGCCCUUGACUAGGCACAGUGUGGGUAUUAGGGCCUGGCCAUUUCUGGCCACUAUUGGACUCCUGUAGGACACUCUUUUAUCUGGAGCUUUCCAUUGGGUUGACAUUGGAUUGGAAGGAUCUGCAUCAUGGCUUGAGGUUUUCCUGGCCCAAUUUUGUUUCCUACAUCCUUUCCUUUCGCAGAUACCAAAUCUGCAUCAAAGGCUUUCCCUGCCUAUUCCUGCCUCCUUCCCCUUUAUCUUUCCCAGUUAUUACCACCCAAUAAACCUCUUGCACUCCUAA